GACGAACCGAGCGAACGUUGUUCGGAAUCACUGGGCUUAAAGGGCGCGUAGGCGGGCUGUCAAGUCUGGGGUGAAAUCCCGCGGCUCAACCGCGGAACCGCCUCGGAUACUGACGGCCUCGAGGGGGGUAGGGGCGGGCGGAACUGAUGGUGGAGCGGUGAAAUGCGUUGAUAUCAUCAGGAACUCCGGUGGCGAAGGCGGCCCGCUGGACCCCAUCUGACGCUGAGGCGCGAAAGCCAGGGGAGCAAACGGGAUUAGAAACCCCUGUAGUCC
rnacentral:rRNA from 1 species